rnacentral:piRNA from 1 species
CCACUGUGGAGACAGGCCCCCGAGUG